UCCCUUAUGAACUGAGCAAAUGAACAGAGCAGGCUUCAGGCGUUCAUUGCACAAGUCUUUAUUGAGCACCGGAUGUGUGCAAAGCAGCCUCGAGGGCAUUUAAGGUGACCACGCUACAGUCCCAGACUGGGACAAACGGACACCAUUUACAGAAGAAGUGAAGUCAGCUCAGAAAGGCAACGUUGAGUGUGCUUUGGGUUUUAAAAUGGAGUGGGAGGCCCUGGAGGGGCUUCCUAAUGGCACCACCUGGGCUGUAGACCUCUUUCCCCAAACUUCCCUGCACUGACCACUUGCCACGGGGCAGUACAGAUGUGUGUUUGAACGGUGUCCACCUGCCCUGACGCUCUACGGCUCCUGAGGGCAGCGCCCACAGCACGUUCCUCUUUGCAGCCCCACAGCACAAGCCCAGAGCUGCGGCUACAGCCACCCCAAACACCCAGCGAUGGCACUGAACACACACAAAACCUCGGACCGAAGCUUGGAAGAGGGAGCAAGAGCUGGGAGGCUAAAGGUCACUGAUGCCACAGGUGAGGAUGUGGUCACCAAAGGUCGUGCAAGAUGAGAGGCAAGCAGGGAGGACAGCUGGCUCUGGGGGGGGACGGCAGCCGGGGAAGGAAGGUCAGAGAGGUGGUGGGAGCAGCAGGCAGGCACAGAGCCCUCAGAGGCGACUGGAGAGUGAGCGGGAAGCAGAGGAUGGUCAAUCCCCAGAGAACGACGCCACAGAGAGGUUGAACCGGAAGCCAGCCCCUGGGGGCUCUUGAACGGGGAAAAUCAGUGCAGCAGGGCAGAGGGCAGACCUGGGAGAGCCCACGGGGUGGACGGGGCCUAGAGGAAGCAGCCACUUCCUUCUCUUUGGGGGAGUUUGGCUAGGAUGGGAAGGAGAGGAUGAAUCAAGAGCAUGUGGUAUUCAGAACAGGAGAGAUUGGAGCAUGCUGGGUCGACAGAGCGGCAGGAAUGACUGAAACAUCGAGAGGCAAAAGAAGUAAGAGUACAGGGACAGGUGGCCCCAAGAGCUGGUCACCACAGUCCUGGAAGAAUGCCAGGCUCUUGGCUCGGGAGUCGCGGUCUCUGCCUUCCUUGCGUCUCCUGGGGUUAGUCUCACUGGGACAUGGGCAGGACUGCAGCCCAAAGGACAGGGCGGGGGCAAAUCCAAAUAUGUGGGCCGGCUCCACUGAGGAACUGGAGGUGGACCAGUGCGGAGUGGAAAGAACCCGGGGGAGCGGCCAGACUCCCUCUUCUCCAGGCUGCUUGGCACAGAGCUGGCCACACAAUCAACCCCGAGGACCAGUUGCCCAAAGGGUGAGGAGAGAGACAGGCUCCACCUGCAUGCCGAGCUGCUGGGGAGAGGUGGCAUUUUCCUCCGGAGGCUGCAGCAGUAACCCCGCUCCGGGGUGCGGAAGGAGGAGAAAGAAAGCAGCUCAGCAGCCGGCCCAGCACAGCGGACGGUUCCACAGACAAUCCGAGCAGCGUGGGCACUCUGCUGCUCCUUGCCGUUUUUCUCUUGGAUCUGGAAUUCUCGCCCCGGCUGGUUCCCCCUGGAGGCACGGAGCACAUAAAAAGAGAUCUGUGUGAUGGAUGUCAAGAAUGGGGAGUGUCUGGUUUGUUUGUCGGUGUUUCUGUCUGCUGAGCUGGGCUGGGCUGGGCUGGGCGGCGCUGAGCGCACUGAGUCAGCGUCCCACCCCCUCCGCCUGCUCUUCAGCCCCCAGACACCUUCCCAGGUGGGUUCUGGAACAGCCCACAACGCUGGAAGGUUCUGUUCAGUUGGCCAUUAGCAUUCCUAAGUUUAUCUCUGCUCUGACACCAGCCUGGCACUUCAUUCUGGCUUCCUGUAAUAAGUCACUCAGCCACUCCUGGAAAGCGAAUCCCUCAAGAGGCUCUGGCGUCUACAGUCAACUUUGCAUUCUUUGGGGGAUGGGGGUGUGCAGAGGCAGCAGCCGGUAAGGGAAGCCGUGUGUCCCCAGGGAACCGCAGCCAUGGCUCCUGACCACCCUGCCAGCCUCCCAGCACUGCCAGCCUCACUCACCCAGGCUCUGCAGCAGCACCCCCCACCCCGGCCUCCCCCCCACCUGCUGGUCCUCCUCUUCUGGGGGUGGCCCUUGUUUGCAAACAGCCACAGGAAGUUUUGACGCUGCUGAUUAACCAGACUCCCACGGCUCUGGGUUCUUAGUCAUCCCGACAAGUCUCAACCUUCCGCCCGCCCUGCCGACAUCACCGGCUUCCAGGUGACGGGAAAGAAAUGACUGCGAGCUCGGUAGUUUCGGUGGUAGAUCCAUCUGUCAUCUUCGGGAGCGGAGUGGGAAGAACUUCCACCCAUCCCAAACAACCGGGAUGUACAGGGCCGGGAAUGCCGCGGUGGGAAUUUAGUCUGAUUUGAUUUAACUUGCUUCUGCCGAGGGCCGGCUAUUGCCAAGCACUGGAACAAACUCUUUACGUCCAGGACUGCCUCCGAUUUCAUGUAAUCCUCACGACGUGUGCAGUAGACGUUAUAAUUCCCACUCCACAGGUGGAGUGGCUCAGGUCCUAUGUUAUAAGAACAGCUAGGGGGAGGCCCAUGAGUGACAAGGGGCCGCUGUGGGAAGGCGGCUUGGAGCGCUGGAAAAGGGGGUGCUCCAGGCCAGGGCCUGUGUCCCCAGCACUGUGUGACCUUGGGCAAAUUUCUUCCCCUCUCUGGGUCUCAUGUCCCUCCCUGGGUAAGUGAGGAGUGUGGGCUGGCGACCUUUCCAGCGCUAAAGCCAAGAGGGAGGGAGUGAGCAAGAUGGAAGGAAUGACUGUAAUCCUGAGAUUCGCUUGCUCUGGGCCUGGUUCAGGGGAGGAGUAAUUCCGUCUUUGUACCUGGCGCUCUGGCUUCACUUACAGCCGCUUCACGCUUCACGAAUGAAUGCCAGCAGAAGAAAGGAGAUUGGGGGGGGGUGGUGCCCUGGUGGG